rnacentral:rRNA from 1 species
UUUUUCCUACGGGGGGCAGCAGUGAGGAAUAUUGGUCAAUGGGCUUACGCCUGAACCAGCCAAGUCGCGUGAGGGAAGACUGCCCUAUGGGUUGUAAACCUCUUUUGUCGGAGAACAAAACCCGGGACGUGUCCCGGACUGCGUGUAUCCGAAGAAAAAGCAUCGGCUAACUCCGUGCCAGCAGCCGCGGUAAUACGGAGGAUGCGAGCGUUAUCCGGAUUUAUUGGGUUUAAAGGGUGCGUAGGCGGUCCGUUAAGUCAGCGGUAAAAUUGCGGGGCUCAACCCCGUCGAGCAGUUGAAACUGG